rnacentral:rRNA from 1 species
CUUGACCUCAAAUCGGGUGAGACUACCCGCUGAACUUAAGC